GCCUAACACAUGCAAGUCGAGCGGUAACACAGAGAGCUUGCUCUCGGGUGACGAGCGGCGGACGGGUGAGUAAUGUCUGGGAAACUGCCUGAUGGAGGGGGAUAACUACUGGAAACGGUAGCUAAUACCGCAUAACGUCGCAAGACCAAAGUGGGGGACCUUCGGGCCUCAUGCCAUCAGAUGUGCCCAGAUGGGAUUAGCUAGUAGGUGGGGUAAUGGCUCACCUAGGCGACGAUCCCUAGCUGGUCUGAGAGGAUGACCAGCCACACUGGAACUGAGACACGGUCCAGACUCCUACGGGAGGCAGCAGUGGGGAAUAUUGCACAAUGGGCGCAAGCCUGAUGCAGCCAUGCCGCGUGUAUGAAGAAGGCCUUCGGGUUGUAAAGU
rnacentral:rRNA from 1 species